GGAGUUGUAGCUCAGUGAUAGAGUGCUCACCUAGCAAGUGGGAGGCACUGGGUUUGAUCCUCAGCACCCCA
rnacentral:tRNA from 1 species